rnacentral:rRNA from 1 species
AUGAUGCGGCCCUAUGGGAGCAUUUCGCCAAACGCACCCACACUAGUUUCGGAGCUUAUAACUAAUGUGACUGCCUCAUGGGAUAGACAGCUCAUCCAAGCAACGUUUAUGCCAAUGGACGAUGCUCGAGUUAUACUGGGAAUACCGAUAUGCACCCGAAACAUCACAGAUUUCUGGGCAUGGUUUCAUGAAAAAAACGGAACUUUCACUGUUAAAUCAGCAUACAAGAUGCUAGUAGCUACCAGAAAUAGGAGAGAAGCGUGGCUGGAGGAAGUACCGGGUCCUUCCAGCUCUAGGGCCGAAGAAGGGGCCUGGAAAACCCUAUGGAAAACAGAAGUUUCGGGCAAGGUACGGAUGUUUCUGUGGAGAUUGUCGAAGCACUCGCUUUCGACUAAUGACGUCCGUGCCCAUUGCCAUAUGUCUGAUUCGCUGCAGUGCGGAUUAUGUGGAGUUUGGGAUUCUUGGCGCCAUUCACUGAUUGAGUGCACAUCUUCGAGGAGUGUGUGGGCUCUCGUCGAUGAAGAGAUCACGCAUAAAAUAAUAGCUACAUCGAAGCCAACGGCAAAGCAAUGGUUGUUUACAUUGACGGAACCGUUAUCACGUGAUGAGUUUGCGCUGGUAUCGGUUACACUAUGGUCUAUAUGGCAUGCAAGGCGCAAGGCUAUCCAUGAAGCUAUCUUUCAUACCCCUCAUGCGACCUACGGAUUUAUCACAAGGUUCAUGGCUGAGCUUGGCAUUGUAAAGGAGAAGAUGCAGCAGGCUACUGUGAGAGGCGUGACAACAAAUCAGGUAUACACACAUCCACGAAAGCCACCACCAGGUUUUUUCAAGAAACAUGUGGAUGGUGGAGUACUGGGCACUAGAGGAGGUUCGGCUGCGGCUAUAUGCAGAGAUGAACAAGGGAAUUAUAUGGGGAGCUCAGCACUAGUAGGGCAAGGAGUAACAGACCCACCUACUCUAGAAGCAAUGGCGUGUCGAGAAGUUUUGGCUCUAGCAGAAGAUCUGGGAAUCCAUAACUUUGUGGUGGCCUCCGACUGCCAACAGGUGGUCUCGGACAUCGACAGAAGAGCCAGGGGAAGUUACGGAGCAAUUAUUAGUGAGAUAAACCUUAGAUCAUCUUCUUUUCUUUACACUUUUGUUUUUGAGAGUCGUGCUGUUAAUGUAGAAGCACAUUGUCUAGCCAAGUUUUUAUUCUCGAGAGGCCCAGAACGCCACGUUUGGUCUGGUGUACCCCAUGACCUCAGAUGUAUCCCACGCCAUGUGAACUUUCAUGAAUAA